rnacentral:rRNA from 1 species
UACGUAGGGGGCUAGCGUUGUCCGGAAUUAUUGGGCGUAAAGCGCGUGUAGGCGGUUCGAUUAGUCUGCUGUGAAAGUCGAGGGCUCAACCCUCGAAUGCCGGUGGAUACUGUCGGACUAGAGUACGGAAGAGGCGAGUGGAAUUCCUGGUGUAGCGGUGAAAUGCGCAGAUAUCAGGAGGAACACCAAUUGCGAAGGCAGCUCGCUGGGACGUUACUGACGCUGAGACGCGAAAGCGUGGGGAGCAAACAGG